CAUUAAGAAGCUUAAAUGUAAGUAUUGGUCUCUUAAACCAAUUUAUAAUAGGUUAACAUCUAUUUUUAAUGA
rnacentral:tRNA from 1 species